rnacentral:misc_RNA from 1 species
GCAAACUUGGUCAUUUAGAGGAAGUAAAAGUCGUAACAAGGUCUCCGUUGGUGAACCAGCGGAGGGAUCAUUAUAGAGAGUAUAACGCUCCCUUAAACCCAAUGUGAAUCAUACCUACGUUGCCUCGGCGGGGAGACCCUGAGCCUUCCCGGAGCAGGACCCGCCGACGGACCCAAACUCUUGUUUUGAAUCUUUGGAAUUGUCUGAGUGGCGCAAGCAAAUAAAAUCAAAACUUUCAACAACGGAUCUCUUGGUUCUGGCAUCGAUGAAGAACGCAGC